rnacentral:rRNA from 1 species
UACGAAGGGGGCUAGCGUUGCUCGGAUUUACUGGGCGUAAAGGGCGCGUAGGCGGAUGUUUAAGUCGGGGGUGAAAGCCCAGGGCUCAACCCUGGAACUGCCUUCGAUACUGGACAUCUUGAGUACGGGAGAGGUGAGUGGAACUCCGAGUGUAGAGGUGAAAUGCGUAGAUAUCUGGAGGAACACCGGUGGCGAAGGCGGCAUCCUGGACCGGCAUUGACGCUGAGGCGCGAAAGCCAGGGGAGCAAACGGG